UACGAAGGGGGCGAGCGUUGUUCGGAAUCACUGGGCGUAAAGCGUGCGUAGGCUGUUCUACAAGUUGGAAGUGAAAUGCCAGGGCUUAACCCUGGAACUGCUUUCAAAACUGUAGAACUAGAAUUCGGGAGAGGAUAGCGGAAUUUCCAGUGUAGUAGUGAAAUACGUAGAUAUUGGAAGGAACACCAGUGGCGUAAGCGGCUAUCUGGACCGACAUUGACGCUGAGGCACGAAAGCGUGGGGAUCAAACAGG
rnacentral:rRNA from 1 species